rnacentral:ncRNA from 1 species
GCAAAUCCGUUGGGGUGCCCACCAGGGCUGAGAGGCGUCACGCUAACCCAUCGAACCUGAUCCGGGCAAUACCGGCGUAGGGAACGGAAACUGCGAAGGU